UACGUAGGGUGCGAGCGUUAAUCGGAAUUACUGGGCGUAAAGCGUGCGCAGGCGGUUUUGUAAGCCAGAUGUGAAAUCCCCGGGCUUAACCUGGGAAUGGCAUUUGGGACUGCAAGGCUUGAGUGCGGCAGAGGAGACUGGAAUUCCUGGUGUAGCAGUGAAAUGCGUAGAUAUCGGGAGGAACACCGGUGGGGAAGGCGGUUCUCUGGGCCUGACCUGACGCUGAGGAGCGAAAGCGUGGGGAGCGAACAGG
rnacentral:rRNA from 1 species